AGGACAGUGGUCACAUUCCUCCUGACCAACUGUAAAAUGUCGUCACCGGCACAUGAGAGGAAGCUGGAGUCUGCCUCUUUCGUUUCUACAGGACUUCCUUGCUGUGCAAAGUAUACAUCAGAACUGUGGUUUUCCUCUCAGGAUGCCUUCAAGUUGUUUGCCUUCUUAACCCAGACAUCUUAAGCAUUUCCAAGGAAUUAAAUUACUAUCCCGUGACAUGUAUGCAUUCCUGCUGGUAUGUACCUGAAAAGAGAUGGCCACAUUCCUGGGGAGAGGGCUUUGGGUCUGUGUAGGGCAAGCAGAAGUGCACAAAAAUGGUUGCCUGCUAGUCCGCUGCAGGGGGAAAAUAGCCUGGCAUUGCGUCACUGGAGUGCAGACAGGCAGGAGAGCCAGAAGAUUUGUCGUCAGGAACCCUCGCACGUAUUCUGGGGCGGCAGCUCAAGUUUUUAAGUUACACGUACGUAUUGCACAACUUCUGAAGACAAGAAGUCCUCCAGAUGAUGCAAGCUGAGUGAGUGAUAUGUUCUGAGGAUGCCAGUGUAAAUUUACCCUUUUACACCUGAGGAGCUGCCUGGUUUAAGCUGCCAUCUCAGAAGCUGUGUGAGUUAGCCCACACUGUGUGCUGUGCUGUUCUGUUUGCCCAGAGCCAGGCGAGGCUGUCUGAAUAAGGCUUGUGAAUCUCUACAGUGCCCUGCAUUCACGGCUGAGACUGCAGCAAGAGCCAUAUGCCUCAUUUUUAAAAUUGGCCUAGGUUCCAAAACACAAGGGUGCUUUAUAAAAUUUUUUGGCUUCCUGAUCUUCUUGAACUUUCUUCCUCAGACCUAGCUUCCCUCCUUCAUCCCCACCAUUGCACCCAAACAAAUACUCUGGUUAGACCUACGUGGGCAAGUGAGGGUGCCUGCCCCAGUGGCAGCUCUCAUGAGCAGAGCAGCCCUUCCACCUCCUCUGAAUGGUAUGACAGUCCCUGGCUAAUGCACAUGCACCAGAAUUGUGUUUCUCCUGUCAGAGGAAAAGAUGUCAAGCUUAUAACUGAAGGAAAAAGCUAUCUAAAGGAGAUAAGAGUAUAAGAGAUGUUACUGCAGUUCUAUAUUUGAAAUCAGUUACGUAUGUGUGUGGUAACCCAAAUGAUGGGCGGACUGCACUUUCCCAUUACCAUAAUUACAUUUCCUUUCAUAGCUAGGGUUGGGGACACAUCCAGACAUUACAGAACACAUCAGUAGAUUUAGUGUGGCUUACUCAGUCUCCAUUUAUCAGACUAUGUCCCAAUUAUGUCACAUUUAGGAAGCAGAAUAAUUUUCUGGUUAUAGCACACAAAAUUUGUGGCAUACUAAUCCUAGUCAUCCUACUGUAUGACCUUGGAGAAGUUGUUUUACUUCUCUUUGAUGGUAAAAAAAUUAACUCGCCUCUUGGAUGGAUUUUAGUACUGUGCCAAGUUAAAAAAAAGUCUGAAUCUAAAGUUAGCCUUCUAAAUCCAUAUUUAGGGGCUAAAUGGGGUGAUUUGUUUUCCACAACCCUGAGCACCCAGCAGCUGUCUCCCACUGAGGCCAGCUGGAGAUUUUGGGUGUUCAUCAGUCUGAAACUUGAAGCAAAAGAAGAGCAAAGGCAGCUGCUUGUGUGCACGUGAAGAGAAGCUCACUUAUGUGGUGUGAGGCAGGAGCAGCAGUUUGUCUUUACUGGUUGGUUGUCACAGUGACGGUGGUGGGGAGAUGCAGGUGGGAUUAAUCUCACUAUUUUUGCAGUCUAGAAGUGGGAUAUCUGCCUCAGGCUGGUUGUUCACAAUCUCUUUAGAGGAUCCCUUGGUUCAGUGGAUGCAGAACAGCUCUCAGUGGAGGCAGAUGAGAAUUCCCCAAUGUGUCAUUCUGUCCACCUAUCUGGUCACAGGAUGAGUUGUCCUCCAGAGAUGGUCAGCCCUGCCCACUGAGUGCAGAGUUCCAUAUAUGCUUAGACUGCUUGCUCAGACUCUGCUGACUGUAAAGGCAGUGGGUGACUUAUAGUGCAUUAGGUAAGUCCAUGUGUGUUGCAGAGCUUUUCAUAGCUGCAGAGAACGGUGAAACCCUACCACAAGCCUGAGAAGGUUGGUUGUGAAAGUUAUGAUCAAGUGAAAGCAGGGAGAAAUACUUGAGACUUGCAAGGAAAAAGAAAUACAAACCUGACUGUAAUCAAUGAAAACCUUUUCCGUAUUGAUGGGAUGGUUUGUUUCCACUGGACAGCUUUGUUCUUCAGGGCAGUAUUUGAGGAGGAAGAUUAAUUUUCCCACGGGAGAAAUAAGCUUUGAAUAAGUCAGCUAAAAUGGAUUGUUCUUAUGUGCACUGCACAUCUAUAGGAGAAACAGAAGUAGUUUACAUGCUCCCUGAGGAGGAACCAUGACAAGCAGACAAUUAACCAAUUCCCCCAGAUCCCCGAUUUAAAGAACCACGUAAUGGCUUAAUUGAGUUGAGUUGCUGAGAGAGCAGCACUGCACUGAGAUUCGUGCUGUGAAGUGCACGAUUCCCAGAGGCAUCCAUCAGGUUUUAAAGAAUUGACUUUCCAUGCUAAUUGACCCAGAUGUGCUUGAUUUUACCUCACAAUCUCCACUUCAUUCAAUUACUGGUAAAGAGAAGGGAAUGAGAAAAAAAGGCUCCAUUUAUCUCAUGUACUAUAUUAAAAGGAAGCUUUCCUAAAGCAACAUUUUGUAGUGCUGAUCAAAUUGUUCAGCCUGAACUGGAGCAGCAUUUAUGCCACUGUUUUGUUUUUUUUUUAUUAUUAUUUCCCAAAUGACCGAGCAUGUAUUUUGUAAGGAGUAGAGAAUAUUCGUUAAGCCACUCUGCUUGGCAAGGGAAAUGUAGGCAUCGUCAGCAGAAGAAUGAGCGUGGUACAGAUGGAUGGACGGUGUGUGACCUGCCUGGCCAGGCAGUGUUCAGAUGCACAGCGGGAAGUCCGAGCGUUCUCAUGGCUGGAGGCAGAGCUGGCCCGCCUGAUCCAUCAGUGCACGAAGGAAAUCACACAGUUUAGCUAUUUUCAGCUUUAAGAAGGCAAGGAGCCAAGUUGGAGGAAUAGGCUUUGCAAUGUGAAUGAGCAGCUGAACUCUUCCAUGUCCCAGGACAGUAGGCACCCCGUUUUCACGUUUUCACAAGCUUUGUUCACCUUUUAUGUAUGUGUAAACAUCCCUGGAGCACACGGAGUAAUUAGCACAACACUGGGGUUUCCAGUGCGUUCUGUGUGUGUGUGUGCAGGACCCCGUUUUUUGUUCCUUGUCAGUUCACAAGCUUUAAUUCAUUUAUAAAUCAAGCAUCUUUGUGUGGUAGGGAGUGAGUCCACCUCUCUAGCAGCAUUCCUGGAAUACCACUGGAGGCUUUCUUUCAUAAAGAAGUUUGCUCUCUACCUGGUUAAUGAUUUCAGACUUACCUCAAACAGUGCCAGCAAGAGAAGUGUCGAGGAGCUUCUGUGUAUUCAUAUUUAAACAGGCUGGGUACCAUUGAAAUUAGCUUGCACCAUUGUUAGGGGAGCAGAAUUUAGCUCCUGGUGCUUGUGACUAGCCAUAUUUUGUACCAACCAGUCAAGUUACAGAGCUCUGCUCUGAAGCAAAGGUGUUUAAGACAUUUACUUUGUUAAAAGUUUUAUGCCAUAUAUGGUCAGCUGCGGUGGUUUUGUUGUGCUUUUUUUUGGUGUUGUUGCUGUUGUUUUUUUCUCUCCUCUUAGGAAGGCUCUCCUCCAGACUGCUGAAUCAUGCUGCAACCUUAGACAUGAUGAUUUUUCAGAAUUUGAAUCAUAGUUGAGCUCUCUGGAUAUCAAGCUGUGAAGCCACACAUGGGCUCAGCCGUUUGGCAGCCACCGAGUACAACUUUGGCAGUAUCAUAUUCACAGUCCAAAUGUUGGAUGGUUCAGCCACCACAUGCGGCAUAUUAGAGAACAGAGCAACAACAUGACUGAAAAUUGCAAUUUACUCUUAAUUUAAAUACCAUGGUUUGUACUGUUCUUCAUGAUUUAGUCCGGAUAUUAAGAACCAGGCUGCUUUACGCAUGGGUCAGUAUCCCACCCUACAAGAACUCCUCACCUAACAAGCCCACAUGCAGUGAGAAACUUCAUUUGGUGUACAAGCUGUUUUUGGUCUUGCAUUGCAAGGUCCCCCAUGAGAAGCUGUCCCAGCUGGGACCACUUCUGAAGUCAGUUACAGGUUUUGACGUGUGCAGGACUGACAAAAAGCAUCACGACCCACUGGAACCAGAACUAAGAAAGUCAGGGUAGUACCUGGGAUUUGUAAAUGUGCUAUGAUCAUGUUGUCUUCACGUUCUGCUGUGGCCUUGCAGGCUGCAGUGAUGAAUGCUUUAGAAAUACCUGGGAAAGAUAGAGAAAAAUAGGAUUCUUCUUCAAAGAUAUGCUUCUGCACAUUCAGUCAGUUGAGCUGCUUCCCGAAAGUGCUUUGCUUUAAAUAAUGUUCUGUACUCAAAUGGUGUGUUUUGAACAUGCUUAAGUUUUGUGCGUGUGAAACAAGAAACUAAGUCUUGACAGUUCCAUUCCUGUAUCGACACUUCUUUAUGACCACAAAACUCAGUCUGUGAAAACAGCUACUGUUGUUUUGCUGGGCAUUUGAAACAAAGAUCUUUAUUCUUUCAUAGUGAGCACUAAAUCUGGGCAGGAAUAAACAAUGAAUCACCUAGGCCAAAUUACUUUCCUAUGUCUGCAGAAAACACAGUGGCAAACUUUUUAAAUUUUUUUUUUUUUUAGGGUGACUGAGACACAUGGUAGAAAAGUGCUCAUUAAUUUGAUCUAAUGUAUUUAAGCUAAAUCUUAAACUUGAGACGUGGAGAAAAGAAAUGAGGGAACACGUAUAAAAACUGUUUACACAAUGCAAGAAUGUUCCUGUGAAUAUGUGAAUACUGAAGGACUGAUAAUUUCACUGUGCCUGUUAUGCUAAAACUGCGCCUUGAAGUCUUUCUGAAGGAAGAUAAUAUAUCUGACAGUUUUCUUUGCAUGCCAACCAGUUAAACUGAGCUGUUUUGUGUGAAGAAGUAGUGCUGGAGUGGAGGAGGACUGGUGCUGGAGUAUGAGAUAUGGCAUAGAUGAGCAGAAGGGAACUUGUCUGUAUCGAUCUCAGUGGCAAGUGGAUAGAUAGGAGGCUCAAAGGGCAAUAUUGUCCCAAAAGGAAGAAGGGAUUUAGAGACAGGGAGAAGUGGUGUUGCAAGGAAAAGGGCUUCUUGGGGUCCAUGACAUGGAAAAGAGAAUAGCACUGCUGUCUUGGAAUAGAGGAUGAGACUUGAAGCAAAACCAAGAGCAGCAGAAAAAAAAUAUGAAAGAACCAAGACAACUUUUUUUUUUGUCUUGUUUUGUAUUUCUGCAGCUGGGUGAAGCUGAGUCCUUUGAAGGAGAACAUCAAAUGAACAAAGCAGCAUGGGUCCUUGAAAAAGAAUAAAAUGGCUGGAAGAAGAAAAAGUCCCAGGCAAAGAAUAUCAUUAGGGAAUUCAGUGGCAACAAAUUCAACUGGCCAAAGAAUCUAGAAAAUUUGGAAUAUAUUUUUUUCCAAGGAACAGAAAUGUAUAGUCAUUAUCUAAGUAAAAGGUAGUACGUUUUGCACUGUUCUAGGCAAUUCCCAUUUUUUUCCAGUGCAAUCAGCUACUUAAGUGCUGACAUACUGAGAAGAGCAGAAAGGGUCUAACUUUCAAUGAACACUUCAGUACUAAAAGUGAGAACUAAAAGGAAGGAGGAACUAUGAAGAAUCAUAAGAGCAAGGGAUCUGCCCCAUAGGUUCUUGAAGGUUCUUCAGUCUUAAGAUGGGAGAAGGCUAGCUUACUCAGUCGAAGUUCAAGUCAGAAAACUCUGCUCUCUGUGGGUGUAACUGUAAAAAAUGCUAAAGCAGCUGUUAUGAUGUACUAUGGUGUAUUAAUUAUUAUUUCUGUCUUAUCUACAAGUCAGCAAAGAAUGAAAUUGCUGAAUAUAGUCUCAGUAGUUGAGUCACACAGCAUUUUGGUCCUGGUUCUGACAGAAGAAAGUCAGGUCAGAGACCAACCGGUGUAUUGACAGUUUAUUUUGAGUUUAAUAGUAUAAAAUAGAAUUAUUUUGCUUUUGCAUACUGAAAGAUGAUGCUCCCAGAAUGAAGUUAGAGUAAAAUGGAUGUGGUAAUUCUAUGCAAAUGAAAUAUAUUCCAUAAGUUUUAUUAAAAGAAUUCAAAAAAAACUAGAGGAAGUUUUUAAAAGCAGAGGUUUUUGGUUCUUGGGAACCAAGCCAACUGUAAUGGAAGCAGAUGCUUACAUGGAGUCCAGGACUUACCACUUAAAACAUCCAAAUGGCAAUGCAGCAACAUGCUUGCUGUGUUCCUGGAAUUAUGAGAUACACAUGAAAUGCUUUUAAAAUGUUUAAAUUAGUCAAAGAUUUAGUCAUACUGAGUGCAAAGAAAUCUGUACGGUAGAUCAUCUCUGCCUACAUUUCUGAGCUAUUAAGUAACUUAGAUACUGUUAAUCCUUUCCUGCAUUUUAUUUCUACAACAUAAGAGUCUCAUACUAGAGAUACUGGAUGUCUUGCCUCAAAUGUUUCAUAAUAUGUAAUUCCAGCAGAUUUAUGUGUGUGCUUGCAGAGAGAUGACAUCACCAUUUAUCCUGUUGAAAGGGGAAAAUGUCAUUAUGCAGACACCCUGUGUCAUUUUAAAGCAGACGGGAAAACAAUAGUAUUGUUCAAAUGUAGAGUUCAGAAACAAUAGAACUGCUUACCUAAUAUGUGCUGAAGUUUUAAGUCUACACACAUCUUUAGUGAAAACCCUAGGAAUAACCUCAAUUUCCUUCAGCUCAGUGACUGAUGGACACCUGGUGCACACAGGAUUUAGCAAGAAAGUUUAUUCAAUAAGUAGUAAUUGCCAAGUACUAGCCAGGUACUUCAGCUUAAAUACCUUUUGAAGGGAGAAACAAAUCCUAGAAUGAUUUGUCAUCUCUACUACAAAUUCCAAAACCUACAGUAUGUUUGGAAGAAAAUCAGACAUAGUUAAGGGACAGAGAAUUAUACAGAAGCCUUAGAAAACCUUGAAACAACAUUCUUCUCUUCCCGAAUUAACAACCAAAUUAGCAAAUUGAUUUUGUUACCCCAAGGCAAGCAACUAUACUGAAAAUGCUUAGCUGCACAAUGGAGUUGAAAUGCCACAGGUUUUUGUAUCCACAGGUUUUUGUAUCCUAGCAGGGAGGAGAGCAUUGGGAGAAGAUAAUUAAAACUCUUCAGCCCAUUGUGUUACAUGUGAAGAAGAAAACAUUUCGUAGGGGAUAUAUUAUUUCAGUGGUUGCUGUAUAUACGUAUAUAUAUGUAUUUCUUGAAAUGAGGUAGUGGUUUUCUUACUGCUAGGAUGUAUCACAGAACAAUUAUUCUCCUAUACACCCCAGGAUAGUUUGGAUCUUAGUUAUUUCUUAGUUUUGUACUUGCUUUGUAAAAUAAAAUCUAAAGUCAUUGUUUUGGGUUGUUUUGUUAAAACCUAAAUUUAAUUCUAUGAUUGCUUAUCAUUGCCUGGAUUAGAUAUGAGUCACCACCUAAUGAUCUCUCCCUUCCAUUACCAGAACAAUAAGAGGUAUCUUUUUUAGCACUUGGACCUGAGAAAGCCUUAGUUGUCCCAAAUCUCAGUCACCCAGUGAGAUCUUGUCAAGCCUCUGGUUUUGUUUUCCUUGAUGCUUGGACUCACUGCACAAAGGUUUUGAAUGACAGCUCCAUGCAUUUCUUCAGGAACUAGAUGUAGGUAAAGAAAUCAAGGAAUGGCAAGCUUGCAUUCUGUGAGAUUAGAGUCACUGAGUGUAGAAAUGAUGGCUAGAAAAAUGAGAGGAGCAAGGAAAGUUAAAAGAGUUGUGAGAGACAGGCAUUAACUUUGCUAAUCCACUGAAAAAGACGAGAAUAUUUUCUGGAUCGGUAUUCCCUCAAGAGGGUAACCAGAAUAUAAACUGCACAGAUUCAUUUCUAGAAACAUGUAAAAAAAAUCCAAAAAACAUUAUCUGGGAAAUAGAUUGUCUUUUUCAAGAUGCACAUUCUUUCUGCAUUAGACCAAAAGAGCUUGCCAGGCAAGCACAUGAUUUUCUUUUACACUGAUGUCGCAAGAAUUAUUUCAAAGACUUUUCUUGUACUAAAUCUUUUUCUGUAGGCCCUGCAGGAAGAUAGUUAUUGUUUGCUUUCCAAUAUAUUGAUGGCGAAACAGGCUUUUCAAGAAAAUGAAAUCAAGUGCUUUCUCCUCUCUCCCUGCUAAAAUACUACUAAAGUUUAUUAAGAACAUCAGCAGCAAAAAUUGUCUGAAAAGAAGAGGCUAUUACUUCAAAGGAAAAUGAAAUUGUGUCUAAGUGGAUGAGAAGACAAGUGCCUGUAACCUGCUGUUUGGGAACUUUCCAAAGAAACAGGGAAGGGCAGAGCCCAAGGACCAAGGCACCUGGAAAGCAACACAAUUUGUUUUGUGAAGAAAGGUAAUUUCAGUCUGGGAGUCCAUGAACCAGCUUUCUGUUUUUUGCAUUUGCUGCUGCUGAGGACAUUCACUGUGCUGGGGACCAAAAGUUUUCCAGGUUUCAUUUUCGUAAGAAGCCUCUUUAGGAUGAGGUUUUUGGACCCUGACAACACCCCUGAACGUCCGUGAGACCCAAAAGCGGAUCCAACCCACAGGCACACCUGCCCAGUGCGGCAGACCUGGGGGCAGCAGCUGGACGAGAGCUCUGCCCCCGCUGCGAUGCUCACGUGGGACACUGCAGCGGCCGAGGCUCAGCCAGGUCCUGAGAGCACUGCUGUCUGCUGUGACACCCAGCAGCUUUGGGGCCAGCAGGGCGGCACCACACCUGUUUCCUCUUACAGCAUCAUGGCCCUGGCUUUGGGCAUUUCUGUUCCAUGUAUUUCCACAUCAGCAUUUCUGAAAAAUGGACUCUUCUUCUAAAAGAUGAAGCAAGUGGUUCCUCAUUCACUUAAUGAUGCACCAGGAAUGUUCAUUCUGCUGAUUUGACUGAAGAUUCAACCUUUUCUGUCCCUAACGAAAUUGUAAUAAAAGCCUGUGUAAUAAAGUAGCAGAAUAAAUGGUGGGAUAACAGAAGCAUGUGAA